UCUGCGUAAAAGUGGCGGUAGAAUGGGGAGCACUGCAGAUCAACGAUUUUAAAUCCCAAUUUGGAGUUCCGAUUCUGCCUAGGAGUCAACAUUCUGGAGAUUUUCAUAGCGGUCGUCGUGCAUUGAGCUGCUCUAGGGUUCCUCGGUUCGUGGUAUCUCUCGCUAUCACGAGCUCUCAACCUCCGACCUCGGAGAUUAUGAUGGAGUUGCGAUCUCUCCUCGCCGGCAACGGGAAUGCUCGGUAAUUCUCUGGUUCCAGGAGGAUCUCCGGGUCACGAUCAUCCGGGCCUUGUCGCCGCGUUCUAUGUCCGGCCGUGGUUCUUAUCUGCUUCUUCGGUGAGCGGAUUCCCUCUCGGUGCAUGAUAGGUUACGUAUUGCUAAAACUUGGAGUUUUGUUUGCUACAUUCUUUGGCCCUGCUCUUCUUCUGGGUAGUGUAUCUAGAAGGAGAGUGUAUUUUGAAGCAAUCAAGAAUGGGAAAAAGAGAAAUGCGGUUUUCUAUUGCCCUACCGAUAUGCAGCAGUCACUGUUACUGCAGCAGUUGAUAUGGAAAUGCUGCUUAAAUCGUGAAGCCUCUUCAAUAUGAUAUGGAGAUGGAAUGGCCAUUUAAUUCAGUUUCUUCUGUCACCAGACCUCCAAUUCAAGUCAAUAUAUUUCACUUUGGUUAUUAUGGAUCUCUGUAAGGACUCGUUAGAGGCCAAGGAGGUUCUUGUUUGAACUCUUGAUGAAAUGGAGGUAAUUAAUAGUAAAAAUAGUUACUGAUAUUUUUUGCAUGUAGAUUGUCAUUGCUCUUCGGUGUAUAAUCUAUUUAGUACUACUAAAAUUUUUUUUUCUCCUUUUUAUCAGGGAUUUGCAUACAUGCUGUUUUAUAUCAUAAUUAUAACCAUUGCCAUUCUGCAUGCUUGUGUUUCGUAGGUGUUCAUUAGUCUAGGAAAUAAUGUACAGUCCUGUUAUUCGGGGCCCUAAGGGCAAUGGGUUAUAGUUAUACACGAGAAGUAUUUGGUGGUCGAAGGUAUUUUCAGCUUCACUCCCUCUUAAUCUAAAGGAUACGUGGUUUUUUUAACUGUUUCUUGUCGGUGACUGAUAGUUCACAUAUAUUGCUUCAAUGAUUCUGGUUGGUUUGUUUAUUUAUAGGGUAUGAAACUCAAAGUUUUUUUUCACCGUUUAUUAUUGGGGACUGAUUGUUCAUACAUUGGCU